rnacentral:rRNA from 1 species
CAACGAAUAUUCCCCAAUGGACGCAAGUCUGAGGGAGCGACGCCGCGUGCAGGAGGAAGUCCUUCGGGAUGUAAACUGCUGUCAGGGGUUAGGAAGAUCUGACCAGCCCCAGAGGAAGCACCGGCUAACUCCGUGCCAGCAGCCGCGGUAAUACGGAGGGUGCGAGCGUUGUUCGGAAUUACUGGGCUUAAAGCGCGUGCAGGCGGAGUAUCAGGUGCCUUGUGAAAGCCCCGGGCUCAACCCGGGAACUGCUGGGCAAACCGGUAUUCUUGAGGCAAGUAGAGGUGACUGGAACAACUGGUGGAGCGGUGAAAUGCGUAGAUAUCAGUUGGAACGCCGGAGGCGAAAGCGGGUCACUGGGCUUGUCCUGACGCUCAGACGCGAAAGCGUGGGUAGCAAACAGGAUUAGAUACCCCCGUAGUCC